rnacentral:rRNA from 1 species
GACGAACGCUGGCGGCGUGCUUAACACAUGCAAGUCGAACGGAAAGGCCCUGCUUUUGUGGGGUGCUCGAGUGGCGAACGGGUGAGUAACACGUGAGUAACCUGCCCUUGACUUUGGGAUAACUUCAGGAAACUGGGGCUAAUACCGGAUAGGAGCUCCUGCUGCAUGGUGGGGGUUGGAAAGUUUCGGCGGUUGGGGAUGGACUCGCGGCUUAUCAGCUUGUUGGUGGGGUAGUGGCUUACCAAGGCUUUGACGGGUAGCCGGCCUGAUAGGGUGACCGGCCACAUUGGGACUGAGAUACGGCCCAGACUCCUACGGGAGGCAGCAGUGGGGAAUAUUGCACAAUGGGCGGAAGCCUGAUGCAGCACCGCCGCGUGCGGGAUGACGGCCUUCGGGUUGUAAACCGCUUUCGCCUGUGACGAAGCGUGAGUGACGGUAAUGGGUAAAGAAGCACCGGCUAACUACGUG